ensembl:lncRNA
AUGCCCUAUCCUGACCAAAUCCACAGCCAGUCACUCAGCCCUAUCCGACCAUUCAACCAGUCAGUCACCAGCCUAUCCAGACCAUUCAACCAGUUCAGUCACUCAGCCCUAUCCAGACCAUUCACUCAGCCCUAUCCAGACCAUUACUCAGUCCAGUCACUCAGCCAUAUCCAGACCAUUCCCCCAGUCCAUCACUCAGCCCUAUCCAGACCAUUCACCCAGUCCAGUCACUCAGUCCUAUCCAGACCAUUCACCAAGCCUAUCCAGACCAUUCACCAGCCCUAUCCAACCAUUCACCCACCCAGUCACUCAGCCCUACCAGACCAUUCCCCAGUCCAGUCACUCAGCCUAUCCAGACCUUCACCCAGUCCAGUCACUAGCCCUAUCCAGACCAUUCACCCAGUCCAGUCACUCAGCCCUAUCCAGACAUCAACAGCCCAUUCAGACCACACUCACCCCUAUCCAGAACAGUCACUCAGCCCUAUUCAGACCAUUUACUCAGUCCUAUCCAGACCAUCACCCCAGUCCAGUCACUCAGCUCUACCCCUAUCCAGACCAUUCACCCAGUCCGGUCAUCAGCCCUAUCCAGAAGUCACUCAGCCCAUUCAGACCAUUCACUCAGCCCUAUCCAGAACAGCACUCAGCCCAUUCAGACAGACCAUUUACUCAGUCCUAUCACGGAAAUUCCACACGUCCAGUCACUCAGCCCUAUCCAGACCAUUCACCCAGCCUAUCCAGACCAUUCACCCAGCCCUAUCCAGACCAUUCACCCAGUCCAUUCACUCAGCCCUAUCCAGACCAUUCACCCAGUCCAGUCACUCAGCCAUCCAGACCAUACACAGUCCAGUCACACAGCCCUAUCCAGACCAGUCACCCAUCCAGUCACUCACACUAUCAAAACCAUACACAGUCCAGUUACUCAGCCUACAGACAGACAAUUCACCUGGUUCAGACACCAGCCCUAUCCAGACGCUUCACCCAGUCCAGUCACUCAGCCCUAUCCAGUCCAGUCACUCAGCCCUAUCCAGACCAUUCACUCAGUCCAGUCACUCAGCCCUAUCCAGACCAUUCACCCAGCCCAGUCACUCAGCCCUAUCCAGUCCAGUUCUCCAGCCUAUCCAGACGCUUCACCCAGUCCAGUCACUCAGCCCUAUCAGACAUUCACCCGGUUCAACACUCAGCCCAUCCAGACUAUUCACCCAGCCCAGUCCACUCAGCCCUAUCCAGACCAUUCACCCAGCCCAGUCACUCAGCCCUAUCCAGAAUUCACACACAGCCCAGUCACUCAGCCCUAUCCAGACCAUUCACCCGUCCAGUCACUCAGCCCUAUCCAGACCAUUCACACCGGUUCAGACACUCAGCCCUAUCCAGAACCAUUCACCCGUCCAGUCACUCAGCCCUAUCCAGACCAUUGACCCAGCCAAGUCACUCAGUCCUAUCCAGACCAUUCACCCGGUUCAGACACUCAGCCCUAUCCAGACAUUCACCCAGUCCAGUAACUCAGCCCAUCCAGACUAUUCACCCAGCCCAGUCACUCAGCCCCAUCAAGCCUUCCACCCAGUCCCAGUCACUCAGCUCUAUCCAGACCAUUCACCCGCCCAGCACUCAGCCCUUACAGACCAUACUCCAGCCCAGUCACUCAGCCCUAUCCAGACCAUUCCCCCAGCCCAGUCACUCACCCUAUCCAGACCAUUCACCUGGUUCAGACUCAGCCCUAUCCAGACCAUUCACCCAGUCCCAGUCCUAGCCCUAUCCAGACCAUUCACCCAGCCCAGUCACUCAGUCCUAUCCAGACCAUUCACCUCACCCGUCCAGUCACUCAGCCCUAUCAAGACUAUUCACCCAGUCCAGUCACUCAGCCCAUCCAGACCAUUCCCCCAGUCCAGUCCCAACCCUAUCAAAACCAUUCACACAGUCCAGUCACUCAGCCCUAUCCGACAUUCACCCGGUUCAGACACUCAGCCCUAUCCAGACCAUCACCCAGUCCAGUCACUCAGCCCUAUCCAGACCAUCAACCCAGCCCAGUCACUCAGCCUUAUCCAGACCAUUCACCCAGUCCAGUCACUCAGCCCUAUCCAGACCAUUCACCAGCCAGUCACUCAGCCCUAUCAAAACCAUCACCCAGUCCACGUCACUCAGCCCUAUCCAGACCAUUCACUCAGCCCAUUCAGACCAUUCACUCAGCCCUAUUCAGACCAUUCACUCAGUCCUAUCCAGGAAAUUCACACAGUCCAGUCACUCAGCCCUAUCCAGACCAUUCACUCAGUCCAUUCACUCAGCCCUAUCCAGACCAUACACACAGUCCAUCACUCUGCCCUAUCAGACCAUUCACCCAGUCCAGUCAUCAGCCCUAUCCAGACCAUCACCCAUUCCGAUCACCACCCUAUCCAGAAACAGUCCACUCAGCCCUAUCCAGACAAUUCACCCGGUUCAGACACCAGCCCUAUCCAGACCAUUCACCCAGUACAGUCACUCAGCCCUAUCCAGUCCAGUUACUCGAGCCCUAUCCAGACGCUUGCAAAACCCAGUCCAGUCACUCAGCCCUAUCCAGUCCAGUCACUCAGCCCUAUCCAGACCAUUCACCCGGUUCAGACACUCAGCCCUAUCCAGACUAUUCACCCAGCCCAGUCACUCAGCCCCAUCCAGACCAUUCACCCAGUCCAGUCACUCAGCCCUAUCAAAACCAUUCACACAGUCCAGUCACUCAGCCCUCUUCCCCUGUUUUCUCCCCCUGCUCUCUGCCAUUGGUAA